CCCUUAGAUGUUCUGGGCCGCACGCGCGCUACACUGAUGCAUUCAACGAGUUUCUUCCUGGUCCGAGAGGAAUGGGUAACCUUUUGAAAGUGCAUCGUGAUAGGGAUAGACUAUUGCAAUUAUUGGUCUUCAACGUGGAAUUCCUAGUAGACGUAGUUCAUCAGACUGCAUCGAUUACGUCCCUGCCCUUUGUACACACCGCCCGUCGCUCCUACCGAUUGAAUGCUCAGGUGAGCCAUUCGGACUUUCAUCAUGCUGGUUUCCAGUUUUGAUGAAGGAAAGUCUUGCGAACCUUAUCAUUUAGAGGAAGGAGAAGUCGUAACA
rnacentral:rRNA from 1 species